rnacentral:rRNA from 1 species
CGCGCCAUCGAAUGAGGCAAGACUACCCGCUGAACUUAAGCAUAUCACUAAGCGGAGGAGAAGAAACUAACCAGGAUGCCCUCAGUAAUGGCGAAUGAAGCGGGCGUAGCUCACGCUGCCAAUCCGGAGGCCUUUGCGCCCCCUGAAUUGUGGUCUAGAGAGGCGCCUUCGGGCGCGCGCGCCGCUCAAGUCCCUUGGAAGAGGGUAUCGGAGAGGGUGAGAAUCCCGUACCGUGGCCGCGCGCGCCCUCACGAUGCGUGCUCGUCGAGUCGGGUUGCUUGGGAUUGCAGCUUGAAGUGGGUGGUAAAUUCCAUCUAAAGCUAAAUACUGGCGAGAGACCGAUAGCGAACAAGUACCGUGAGGGAAAGAUGCAAAGAACUUUGAAAAGAGAGUCAAAGAGUGCUUGAAAUCGGCAGGAGGAAACCCGGAUGGGCCCGGCUUCGGCGCGCCGACUCAGCCGCCCGCUCGGGGCGGUGCACUUUGUCGCGCCGGGUCAGCCGCCGCUCUGCGCGCGUCACAAGCGGGGAGUAGGGCUCCGGCGAGCUCCCCCUCUGCCUCUCGCGGGGCGCCGGCUGACGGAACGGGCCCCUCCGACCCGUCUAGAAACACGGACCAAGGAGUCUAA